GAAAACGUACAGUUCAACAAAUCACGGUAUACGCCGCCAUUUUGUUGGGCAGGCAAAACAUUGCGAGGCGCGGCUACCAAGCCCCAUACAUUUACUGUAAAAUUUCGACCCGUGACUCAGGUGCAAGCCACAUUUCCUUAAUUUUCUUCCUGUCAGAUGAAUCUCUGGUCUUCAAAUUUUCAGAAAUUUUAGCCAAGAAUAAACACCAGAAAUGGAAAGAUGGUAUCAUUUUUCAAAGCCUCCCGACAUAUGUAAAUGAUGUGGACGGGUAUUCUGAAGUUGCUCCGCCCCAGGAUUAAGCGCCCAAGUACGAAAUUCAAGGUGCAAGUAAUGUGAGUGAUGUUGGUGAGACCUGGAGUUAGAAGCUCCCCCACAGCAUGCUUGAUGCACAUUGAGGUUAAACUUCUUGCCAUUCCCUCUGGUGGGGACCUGAAGAAAUAAGCGUUAAAGGUGUUUUUGCACCUUUUUACAACAGAAGAAAUGGCUGCUGGAAUUCUUCAGCCAGCAGGGGAAAAAGCAACGGGGAAGGAAGUGCUGGACCCCCACAGGACAAGUCUUUGAAGAAGAGCCAUAACAGAAAAGUUUGGAGAGGUUCCAUUCUAGAAGAAGUGGGGCCAGAUAUGGCAGUCUUUAAACCAAAAGUGUUUAGAUUC